rnacentral:misc_RNA from 1 species
GAUGAAGAACGUAGCGAAAUGCGAUAAGUAAUGCGAAUUGCAGAAUUCAGUGAAUCAUCGAAUCUUUGAACGCACAUUGCGCCCGCCAGCACUCUGGCGGGCAUGCCUGUUCGAGCGUCAUUUCAACCAUCAAGCCCCCAGGGGCUUGUGCUGGGGCCCUGCGGCUGCCCGCAGGCCCUGAAAACCAGUGGCGGGCUCGCUAGUCACACCGAGCGCAGUAGCACAUCUCGCUCAGGGCGUGCGGCGGGCUCCUGCCGUGAAACCCCCCACUGUAACCCCAAAGGUUGACCUCGGAUCAGGUAGGAAUACCCGCUGAACUUAAGCAUAUCAAUAAGCGGAGA